UGGGGAAUAUUGCACAAUGGGCGCAAGCCUGAUGCAGCCAUGCCGCGUGUGUGAAGAAGGCCUUCGGGUUGUAAAGCACUUUCAGCGGGGAGGAAGGCGUUAAGGUUAAUAACCUCGGCGAUUGACGUUACCCGCAGAAGAAGCACCGGCUAACUCCGUGCCAGCAGCCGCGGUAAUACGGAGGGUGCAAGCGUUAAUCGGAAUUACUGGGCGUAAAGCGCACGCAGGCGGUCUGUCAAGUCGGAUGUGAAAUCCCCAGGCUCAACCUAGGAACUGCAUUCGAAACUGGCAGGCUAGAGUCAUGUAGAGGGGGGUAGAAUUCCAGGUGUAGCGGUGAAAUGCGUAGGGAUCUGGAGGAAUACCGGUGGCGAAGGCGGCCCCCUGGACAAAGACUGACGCUCAGGUGCUAAAGCGUGGGGAGCAAACAGG
rnacentral:rRNA from 1 species